AACGUGCAUUAUGAAUCUAUCUGGUUUUAUACAAAGAAAAUACUGUCCAUUACUGAAUUUUUUUCUGAUACGUUAUUUUUGGACGAUAUUAUCCAAUUCCAAGACAACAAUUUCUACAGUUUAAUGAAUGUCUUACAUUUAUAUCCAUUUUGAUUUACUCACGUUCAACCAAUGGAAAUCUUGAUGAAAGAACGCUAUACUGAAAAUCCACACGAAAAUUGUUCUGACACUAUCCAAAACCAUCCGGGUAGUAGCUGAAAGUUCUUUCGUAACACUGAUACCAGCAAAAUUAAAGAAAGCGAUUGAUAUGAUAGUACCUGAAAUAUUAUGUAAUGAUAAAUAACAAUAAAGAUUUAAAUUUAUGUGAA